rnacentral:rRNA from 1 species
CCUACGGGUGGCAGCAGUGAGGAAUAUUGGUCAAUGGGCGGAAGCCUGAACCAGCCAAGUAGCGUGCAGGAUGACGGCCCUACGGGUUGUAAACUGCUUUUAUACGGGAAUAACACGCCUUACGUGUAGAGCUUUGCAUGUACCGUAUGAAUAAGGACCGGCUAAUUCCGUGCCAGCAGCCGCGGUAAUACGGAAGGUCCGGGCGUUAUCCGGAUUUAUUGGGUUUAAAGGGAGCGUAGGCCGCAUGUCAAGCGUGCUGUGAAAUGUUCGGGCUCAACCCGGGCCUUGCAGCGCGAACUGGCGUGCUUGAGUCCGCGGAAGGCAGGCGGAAUUCGUCGGGUAGCGGUGAAAUGCUUAGAUAUGACGAAGAACCCCGAUUGCGAAGGCAGCUUGCUGCAGCGGAACUGACGCUGAUGCUCGAAAGCGCGGGUAUCGAACAGGAUUAGAUACCCCAGUAGUC